GCUGGCGAAGCUUCACCAGGGGCCUCCAUGACCAGCACCCCUUGAACAUCCCACUGCUCCGCUGAGUCCGAGUUCCCUCUGUACAGCGAAACUUGUACAGCCCCGGAGGGGAGGCAGUGACGCUGAGAGCACCCAGCCCCGACCCGCAGCAGUGGGGCACCGACAAAGCACCAUGGGCAGCCUGGGCCCGGCCCUGUCCCUGCCCUCAGCUCCUCCCGCCUCCUCCUCCCUGGCUGCCCCUGCACCUGGGUGAGGAGGGGGCAGUCCGGGCUCUGGUACUGGCCACAGGCAGACAGCCCCAGGGCCACAGCGUCGUCCUUUCCUCGGCGCCCAGGGAUAGGACCUAGCCCAGCAGACGUCCCUAGCCCCCUUCUCUCCUCAGCUCACUUUCGUGGCCCGGGACCCUGAGCAGAGGGGCGCCGCCCAGGCCGCGCAGACCGGAGCCCGAGCGUCACGCGCACCGCGCGCACCGCCCGCCUCUGGCCAGGACGCUUAUACAUCCGGAGGGUGGGCAGUGCCCGCUCCUCCGACCUCCCCAGCACAGGCCGGGAGCAGGGAGGGCCGGGGGCGGGGCCUGGACUGGCCGAGGGAGAGGGAGCCCAGGACACGUCGGAGGAACUCAGGCCGCUGGUCGGUCCUGGUCGGUCUGUGCUGUCCCUCACUUGCUACCCACCAUGCAGCCAGCCUGUCGGCCUGGCGGGUGUGUGGGUUGUGUCCUGGGAACCUCCGUUGUACACCUGAGCAGCGGCCUGAAGGCGGAGCCCAGAUGUGGAGUCCGAGGGAGACGUCAGUACAGAGAAGGGAGAAGUGAAAGUGAAAAACCCUGGGGCUGCUGGACACUCCAGGCUGGGACCAGGAGACCAGGCUAGGUGAGAAAAAGUGUGGGAGCAGAAAGGACUGUGGCAUGAACAAACUCUGAUCUGAUCGAGAGCAUGCUGGAAGAGGUCAGGAUCCUCCGCUAGGCUGCUCAGCUGGAGGGGCGCCCCUGCUCCACCCACAGCUGAUACUCACCCAAGUGGUUGCAGAACCUGACUGAACCCACUGUCAAAGCCCAGGGAGUGCCAGAGGGGCCCAAAGGGCCAGAAGUGGAGGCCUGAGCCCCCAGUCCUCCACAGCAUUGCUGCCUUCCACGCCUCCUUCUGUCCUUUUUGGGGGCCGCCCCACAGCUUUCUUCGACACCACUGUAACCCCACCCUUGGUGCCUACCGCCCAGAGGGAGCCCGCGCCCAGUGGCCC
rnacentral:lncRNA from 1 species